UCUUCUUUUUCUUCUUCUUCUUCUUCUUUUUCUUGAUUUUCUUCCCUGCUCCACCAUAACUAGAACCAGAAGUAGGAAGAUUGUGUAC
rnacentral:ribozyme from 16 species